rnacentral:misc_RNA from 1 species
GAUGAAGAACGUAGUGAAAUGCGAUAAGUAAUGUGAAUUGCAGAAUUCAGUGAAUCAUCGAAUGUUUGAACGCACAUUGCGCCCCCUGGUAUUCCGGGGGGCAUGCCUGUCCGAGCGUCAUUACAACCCUCAAGCUCAGCUUGGUGUUGGGCCCCGCCGCCCCGGCGGGCCCUAAAGUCAGUGGCGGUGCCGUCCGGCUCCGAGCGUAGUAAUUCUUCUCGCUCUGGAGGCCCGGUCGUGUGCUCGCCAGCAACCCCCAAUUUUUUUCAGGUUGACCUCGGAUCAGGUAGGGAUACCCGCUGAACUUAAGCAUAUCAAUAAGCGGAGGA